AUGAAAGUUAUAGAGAAUUGAAUCAGCUUUCUAAUGGUGGUGAUUUCGUAUCAAACGCAGUGCCGGCUCUGAGCACAGCCACUUGAGGCAAUGGUUUGUGGCCCCCAAAUUUUUUGUUGCAAAAUGAGGCCCCCAAAAAUAUUUUAUGUUGCAAAGAGAGGCCUCAUUUUCUUGAAUUUUAAGAUUUGGUAUCAGUUUUUAAAAUUUAUCUAUAACACCCAACAAAUUUUAUUUUUUUUGCUGGGGCCCCAUAUUGUUCAGGGCCGGCCCUGAUCAAACGGAGUAGCGUAUCAAAAGUUACAAACAGAUCGGUCUACACUCGAUCUAGAUGAUGGCUCCAAAUGAAGUUCUUGAAAGAUCACAUCAUAUGAAGACUCUCCCCUGUUAUUUAGACCGAUCGACGAAACCGAGCGGCAAAAUUGCAAAAAUCUACUAAAGAGAUCCGAUCGGUUGCAAACCGAUCAGACAAACCGAUCAGAAGCCCAACCGACAGUUUCCACUUCAGAGAAAAAUUUAACAAGUUAAUUCCAAAAACUCAAAUUAGUUUUUUUUCCAGAGAGAUCAAAGAUGAAAGUGAAGAAAUUAUUUUGCAAAAUUUGGAAUGAUUAAAGGAAAUUAACUUCAAUUCUACUCUC
rnacentral:lncRNA from 1 species